rnacentral:rRNA from 1 species
AUUGAACGCUGGCGGCAGGCCUAACACAUGCAAGUCGAGCGGAUGAGGGGAGCUUGCUCCUUGAUUCAGCGGCGGACGGGUGAGUAAUGCCUAGGAAUCUGCCUGGUAGUGGGGGAUAACGUUCCGAAAGGAACGCUAAUACCGCAUACGUCCUACGGGAGAAAGCAGGGGACCUUCGGGCCUUGCGCUAUCAGAUGAGCCUAGGUCGGAUUAGCUAGUUGGUGAGGUAAUGGCUCACCAAGGCGACGAUCCGUAACUGGUCUGAGAGGAUGAGCAGUCACACUGGAACUGAGACACGGUCCAGACUCCUACGGGAGGCAGCAGUGGGGAAUAUUGGACAAUGGGCGAAAGCCUGAUCCAGCCAUGCCGCGUGUGUGAAGAAGGUCUUCGGAUUGUAAAGCACUUUAAGUUGGGAGGAAGGGCAGUAAGUUAAUACCUUGCUGUUUUGACGUUACCAACAGAAUAAGCACCGGCUAACUUCGUGCCAGCAGCCGCCGCCG